rnacentral:tRNA from 3 species
GGCGUCGUACCCAAGUGGUAAGGGAGAGGUCUGCAAAACCUUCAUGCGUGGGUUCGAAUCCCAUCGACGCCU